rnacentral:lncRNA from 1 species
CAGUACUCAGCUGACUGCUGGAGCAGAGCAGGUCACUACUUCCUCAGAGAGAUCUGAUUUUUAUGAUGUUUUAAACUUUACAGAUCCUUGAUUUGUGACUUUAAAAAUCGUUAUUUGGAAACCUAGGUAUAACAGCAUAAUGUAUUGUGUAAAAACUGUCAGAAAUUGUAUGUCGGUUUUUGUCAUAAACACUGGUAAUUUUAUUCUCUUAUUUCCCCUUUUCUUGCCUGCUCUGUUGCCUGGGGUUCAGGUGGCCGAGUCAAAGCCCCUUGUUGUUCAAGCAGAUGUCCUGCAGAGGGAGCUAGAGAGCUGCCUGAGAAGAGAGUACACUGCUGAAAAUUUACCUUUGCUUCUGUUGCAGUAUUAUACAGAGAGAAUUACUCAGCUGGCCCAGAGUAAAUAUUUACACAUGCUUAGGUGGAAGAGGUUUUGCCAGCACAGUAAGAUCAUGGAGCAACUUUAUCCUCUUUACAAGGUAGGAAGCCUAUGAGUAGAACCUGUACUAUUUGUCAUAAUGAAAGCAAAUGGUCCAUAAGCUUGUCAAUACUCUAUUAUUAAGUAUAGUCAUCAUGCCUGUACAUUAUAACUCUAGACUUCUUCAUCCUAUAUAACUGCAAAUUCGUGCCCUUUGGCCAACAUCUCCACAUUUCUCCCACCCCACCACGCAACUCCUGGUAACCACUGUUCUACUCUCUGCUUCUAUGAGUUCGACUUUUCUUUUUCUUUGGAUUUCACAUAGAAGUGAAACCAUACAAUAUUUGUCUUCCUCUGUCUAGCUUAUUUCACUUAGCAUAGUCUUCUAGCUUCAUACAUGUUGUUGCAAAUAUUAGAAUUUCCUUCUUUCUCACGGCUGAAUAAUAUCCCAUGAUAAUGUGGUAAUAUAUAUGUACCACAUAUUCUUUAUCCAUUCAUCAAUCAACAGACUCUUAGGUUGUUUUCAUAUCUUGGCUUUUGUGAAUAAUGCUGCAGUAAAGACAGAAUACAGAUAUCUCUUCAAGAUACUGAUUUUGUUUCCUUCAGAUAUGUACCCAGAAGUGGGAUUGCUGGAUCAUAUGGCAGUUCUAUUUUAAAUUUUUUAGAGGAAUCUCUAUACUGUUUUCCAUACCAAUUUAUAUUCUCAUCAACAGUGUAACUUGUCAAUUUUUUUUAAGUCACAGCUGAAGAUGGGAAAGGAACUAAUGCAUGUACCUACUUGCCUAUUCUGACUGUGGCAGAAGAUAAUGAUACCUAUUUUUAAGAAUAAGAUUUGAAGGAAGAUUUAUAUGACAGAAAAUGCACUUUCCUUCAUAGACUUGGUCUCCUCUGCUGUAGGUAAAAAGCUGAGAAGCCAACUGCAGUUAGCAAACAUCCUCAUGCACUGACCUUUGCUGAAGUCUCUUUCCUUCAAAGUCCUAAGAAUGUGACUACUGCCCUUGUCAGUCAAAUUCAGAAUGUGGAAGAAUUUUGAUAUUCCAAGAGCCCCUUAUUUGGCCCCCAAAUAGCAUUACCCU